rnacentral:lncRNA from 1 species
GACUUAAGUUCGAGAGUGGAAAACUCUUUCUCCACUGUGCAUACUGCCCCGGCUGAGGUCUUACGAACUCAGUCUUAUAAAUCACAUAGGAUCUCUCCUUAUCUAUCAAGGUCGAUAGAUUCCUUAUAGGUGCAUACCCUACUCCUACAGUGAACUUACUACAGCCAAUCUACACUGCAUGGACCCAUAUGGCUAGAGACCAUGUAUGUGUGUAGUCAAAC